CAGGAUUGUGCAACCAAGUCCCAACAAUGGCACAGAUUGUACAAUGCAGCCCUCAUAAAUUAAGCUUCCACACUGCAAGGUUGUUGUUUCUGUUUGCCACCAGCUUGAAAAAUACCCAGCUCUUUCAGAGCAGUAAUUAGAGUAGGUAACAAUGAUUGCUGUUAGCUUUCCUGACAGCAUCAAGGUACAAGACAGGAGAUUUCGUACAUUGGCAGGUAUGACUUCUCAGGGAGCCUUUUGUUUCCAUUUAACAAAACGUAACAGUUCUGUUCAAAUGAAAGAACUUUUGUUUUUUAGUUCAAAAGAUUGCUUUAUACACAUCUCAAAAACUUAGCAAUUGUUGUUACCUUGACACAGCCCGCAGGGAGUACUCACAGCACGGAGGGAUCACUAUGGAUGUGAGACUACUUUGAAAGUUCAGAACCAAGAGGAAAUGGCCAACCAGCCUCGUGGAGAGAGCCUGAGGAUCUGGGACAGCCUGAGCUUCCAGCCCUCUGCCACUCUGAGCACUGACGGCUUUGAGCAGGACUUGGGUGAGGGAGACCUUGGCCACCCAGAGCUGGAAGAAAAACACAGGAGCCAUCUGGACAUUUUGAGGCAAACCUCCCUACUACUGGCUCACAAACUGAAGCUUCAGCAGCUCCAGCAGAAACAGCAGCUUAUGGUGCUGAGGGAGAAAGCAAAGCAAGAGGUUCAGGAAAGCCACAGGUUUUUGAGGGACCUGCUGCAGCACAAUUCAGAGGAGAGCAGGAAUUCCAGACGCAGUGAUCCUUCUGUGACAAGAGUGUACCACGCAGAGCAGACACAGAGAGGACACUGGUUGGAAGGUGACCUUGCUGCUGCCAGGUACAGGAGGCAGGGUACAGCGAGGCACUCCAAGGGUUGGCCUGUGGUUUGCCUAUGUGAAUAUUUUGGGGCAUUAAAAUAAUUCCAAUAUAGUCUUUUUACUGUGAUUUAUGCCCAAACUACAGUAUUAACGCUUUUGCAAUGUUUUGGGAGGUUUUGUAUUUUUUAAGAAGUAGGAACCCCUCUGAAACGUGUGUGAAAAGUAUCAUUUUCUUCAUUUUGCUUUACCAUCAUAUCAUUGAUGUGAAUUAGAAUAUUGUCUGCGCACUUUUUUAUGUUAAUUUAAAGUGGUAUAAAGACAUGAGAAUUGGUUCCAGGGUCUUAUUGAUGCAAUUACCAGAAAGGCACCAUUGCACAGGUAAAACUUUCAGUAUCACAUAAAAAUGAGCGGCAUUCUGGUUUGAAAAAGAUUCAGUCUUUGUCACAGAGGACUUGGCUGUGAAAGCUAGGAAUUGAAAUUGUGUCUCUGACUGCAAUAAGAAAGAAUUUCCUUUUUCUUACCUUCUUAUCUUCAGUAAUCAAGAGAUGGGUUCGCUGAGACACUCUGCAUUGAAGAUAGAAAGAGAGCACAGUCCAGUGGAUCCUAAAAUAGUGGGAGAAAGAAAACCUCGAGGAGGAGGUUCAUAUUGCUCAGUGCUUCAAGGAGGUGAACAUGAAGCUUAAGGAUUUGGUGAUAUUGAGAAAAUGCCCCAUUUAACCUGGUCUGGAACACAAUUUUCUAAUUAAUUUUGAAAAUUUUGACCUAAAUACUUAUGUUUAUUGUGCUUAUUUAAACCAUGGCCAUGUUCCUCUGCACUCCUGGCCCUUCUAAGAAAAUCAUGUUGGGAGCUGAGAGUUAUUUACCCUAUUGAUGGGCCUACUUUUUAAUUUUUACCUGUUUAUCAAGAUUUGACUUAUAUGGAAGUUUAUUGUCCAUACCUUGCUCCUGACAGUGAACACCUGUGGAGUGGCUCCUCUGGCUCCUGCUGAGAGCAGUGCACGUGCCCAGCUGACAAGUAUUUGCCAAAGGCACCUUGAGUUCAGGAAUGGAUGUUAACUUGUACUGUGGGAGUCAUUUUUUGGGUCUCUUUUUUUCAUUCUGUUUCAAAUAUUUUAUUUUUGGUGAUGUUAAUUCUUUGCCUUGGGAUCCCUGCCAGCAGAUCACAGGCAGUCACUGCACAGCCACCAUGCCUUGAGUCUGUUGUCACCUCAGGUGAAUCUCUCCCACGGGGAGACCUGGGACUCUGGAGAGAGCAGUGGCCAGGCCAGCUCCAACAGCCAGGUAACACCAGCUCUUGAAAUAGUCUGAAGGGCAUUUCUUUCUCUGGGUUGGUGGGUUUUUUUGGUUUUAGCCCCUCUAUCAAACUGUUCACCCAAUGACGCCAAUGCUCUGCUCUGUCCCCAGUGGAGUGCAGCUGUUCCACACUUCGGAGGCUCCAGCACCUUCCAUGGUUCCAGCCUGGCUGUGGUGGAGCAGUGCCUGAGGGGAGAGGAGCUGCGGGCUCAGCACCAGGCAGUGCUCCUGCGGCUCCGGAGAAAGGCUCUGCGGGACAGGGCCAGGGCCGAGCUGGCCUGGCUGGGCCACCGGAGACGGUGAGGGGCACGGGGGGCAGCACCGGCAGAGGCCUGCUCGGCCAGGACAGGUUUUCCUCCUUUCAGGGGAAGACAACAAAUGUAAAAUCUUCUUAAGAAGCAAGUAGCAAGUAAAACAUGAAGAGACGAAAGGAGCCUGCAUGGUUUUAGUGUCUCCAGAGCAGAGUUGAGCUUCUACUGCAGCCUCCUCUGGGGUUGUUGUGUGAGGCACCAACUGGCUGAGGUGCCCGCAGGGAUGGAUGGUGAGGGGUGUCCCUCAGCACUGACCGGGAUGAGGUGCCCGCAGGGAUGGAUGGUGAGGGGUGUCCCUCAGCACUGACCGGGAUGAGGUGCCCGCAGGGAUGGACAGUGAGUGUGUCCCUCAGUGCUGACCAGGCUGAGCUGCCUGCAGGGAUGGACAGUGAGUGUGUCUCUCAGCACUGACCAGGAUGAGGUGCCCUCAGGGAUGGACAGUGAGUGUAUCCCUCAGCACUGACCGGGUUGAGGUGCCCUCAGGGAUGGACAGUGAGUGUGUCCCUCAGCACUGACCGGGUUGAGGUGCCCUCAGGGAUGGACAGUGAGUGUGUCCCUCAGCACUGACCGGGUUGAGGUGCCCUCAGGGAUGGACAGUGAGUGUGUCCCUCAGCACUGACCGGGUUGAGGUGCCCUCAGGGAUGGACAGUGAGUGUGUCCCUCAGCACUGACCGGGUUGAGGUGCCCUCAGGGAUGGACAGUGAGUGUGUCCCUCAGCACUGACCGGGUUGAGGUGCCCUCAGGGAUGGACAGUGAGUGUGUCCCUCAGCACUGACCGGGUUGAGGUGCCCUCAGGGAUGGACAGUGAGUGUGUCCCUCAGCACUGACCGGGUUGAGGUGCCCUCAGGGAUGGACAGUGAGUGUGUCCCUCAGCACUGACCGGGUUGAGGUGCCCUCAGGGAUGGACAGUGAGUGUGUCCCUCAGCACUGACCGGGUUGAGGUGCCCUCAGGGAUGGACAGUGAGUGUGUCCCUCAGCACUGACCGGGUUGAGGUGCCCUCAGGGAUGGACAGUGAGUGUGUCCCUCAGCACUGACUGGGCUUAGACACUGUGUGGAAGCCCCCAGGGGAGGCUGUCUCUCCCCAGAGCUCAGGAGACUCCAGUUGCUUCAGGAGCGGUCCAGGCACCAAAGAGUGGUGAGGUGCCCUCUGAGUGUAUCGGAACUUUCUGCAGAGCCUUCCAUACCUAUAGCUGCUUUGAGAGGAGCUUUGCUCCCAUCCCUGGUGUAAAUUCAAGGUAUUUAAUUAUCUGACUGUGAUUCUCAUCCUUCUGAUCUCCAGUGUUCUGGAAAACCUGCAGGAUAGUACUGGAGCCUCUGCUGUGGCAGCAAAGCAGCACAAAAUCCUGACGGAGCUGAAACGGGAGCAGGUAAUGCUGCAGCGAGAGGAGCUGGGAUUCAUCUCAUAUCCACAGGGAGGAUGCAGGGAGGUGUCUGGAGCUGCUGGAUCAAGUGGGGUUUGCGUUUAAAAAAAAUUAAAAAUCACUUUGC
rnacentral:lncRNA from 13 species